UACGAAGGGUGCAAGCGUUAAUCGGAAUUACUGGGCGUAAAGCGUGCGUAGGCGGUUGGCUAAGUCAGAUGUGAAAGCCCUGGGCUCAACCUGGGAAUGGCAUUUGAAACUGGCGAGCUAGAGUGUGAUAGAGGAUGGCGGAAUUCCCGGUGUAGCGGUGAAAUGCGUAGAGAUCGGGAGGAACAUCCGUGGCGAAGGCGGCCAUCUGGAUCAACACUGACGCUGAGGCACGAAAGCGUGGGGAGCAAACAGG
rnacentral:rRNA from 2 species